rnacentral:rRNA from 1 species
UACGACUACAUAUCAGGCAUAUCAAUAAGCGGAGGAAAAGAAACUAACAAGGAUUCCCCUAGUAACGGCGAGUGAAGCGGGAAGAGCUCAAAUUUGAAAUCUUAAAGGGUUUCCCUUUACGAAUUGUAGUUUAAAGAAGUGUUUUCUGUUGGAGUUUCGGUAAAAGUUCUUUGGAAUAGGACAUCAUAGAGGGUGAGAAUCCCGUAUUUGACCGUUACUUUCCAGCUGUGUGAUACACUUUCAAAGAGUCGGAUUGUUUGGGAAUGCAGUCCAAAAUGGGUGGUAAAUUUCAUCUAAAGCUAAAUAUUGGCGAGAGACCGAUAGCGAACAAGUACCGUGAGGGAAAGAUGAAAAGAACUUUGAAAAGAGAGUUAAACAGUACGUGAAAUUGUCAAAAGGGAAGCGUUUGACACCAGUGUUGUUUAGUUGAAAAUCAAUUCAAUAGUUUUUGAUUCUAAGUAGUAUUGACUUCAUCAGCUUGCUGCUUUCUUCUCAGAAAUUAUUGAAUGCACUUUUCAGUUAACAAGUCAACAUCAAUUUCUUUUGUUGUAAAAGGGUAAGAGGAAGGUGGCUGCGCUUCGGCUCAAGUGUUUAUAGCCUUUUAUCUCUGCAAUCGGAGAGAUUGAGGUCUGCAGCGUAGAUCCUUCGGGGUUAGAUACAUUUGUGCUAAGUUAUAGCUUUUCAUAGACAACUUGUUGACUAUGUUUAGUCUUGUAGCUUACUCGCUUAUGCUAUUUUACCUACGCUUAGGAUGUUGAUCUACAGAGCGAGAGU